rnacentral:rRNA from 1 species
GUAGGUGGCAAGCGUUGUCCGGAAUUAUUGGGCGUAAAGCGCGCGCGGGCGGUUCUUUAAGUCUGAUGUGAAAGCCCACGGCUCAACCGUGGAGGGUCAUUGGAAACUGGAGAACUUGAGUACAGAAGAGGAAAGCGGAAUUCCACGUGUAGCGGUGAAAUGCGUAGAGAUGUGGAGGAACACCAGUGGCGAAGGCGGCUUUCUGGUCUGUAACUGACGCUGAGGCGCGAAAGCGUGGGGAGCAAACAGGGAUUAGAUACCCUGGUAGUCCACGCCGUAAACGAUGAGUGCUAAGUGUUAGGGGGUUUCCGCCCCCUUAGUGCUGCAGCUAACGCAUUAAGCACUCCGCCUGGGGAUACGGCCGCAAGGCUG